GUGAUUCUCAUGCAUUUAAUAUGCUAAUGAAUUAAAGAUUAAGGAAUUUUGAAUACUCUUAACUGCUUAAGUAAAAUCUCAUCAAUUAGGUAGUACGCGAGGCAAUGGCUUACCAAGGUGACAAUCAGUAGUUGGUCCAAGAAGAUGAUCAACCACACUGGGAUUGAGACACAGCCUAGACUUCUACGGAGGCAACAAUGGGGAAUUUUCCUCAAUGGGAAAAAGGCUGACGGAGUGAUGCCACUUGAAGGAAGAAGGCCCUCGGGUCAUGAAAUUAGUUUCUUGGAGAAGAAACAAUGACGAUAUUUCAGGAAUAAGCAUUGACUAACUUUGUGGCAGCAACCGCAGUAAGAUAGAGGAUGC
rnacentral:ncRNA from 1 species